AUUGAACGCUGGCGGCAGGCCUAACACAUGCAAGUCGAGCGGAUGAAGGGAGCUUGCUCCUGGAUUCAGCGGCGGACGGGUGAGUAAUGCCUAGGAAUCUGCCUGGUAGUGGGGGAUAACGUCCGGAAACGGGCGCUAAUACCGCAUACGUCCUGAGGGAGAAAGUGGGGGAUCUUCGGACCUCACGCUAUCAGAUGAGCCUAGGUCGGAUUAGCUAGUUGGUGGGGUAAAGGCCUACCAAGGCGACGAUCCGUAACUGGUCUGAGAGGAUGAUCAGUCACACGGGAAGUGAAACACGUCCAUGCCUCCGGGGGGAGGCGCCAGGGGGGAAUUGGGAACAGGGGGGGAAGACCUGACCCAGCCGUGCGGGGGGGGGGAAGAAGGUCUUGGUAUUGAAAAGCUCUUUAAGUGGGGAGAAAGGGAAUUAGUUUAUUACCUUGUUUUUUUGACGUUACCAAAAAAAGAGGCCCCGGCAAUCUUGGUG
rnacentral:rRNA from 1 species